UACGUAGGGUGCGAGCGUUAAUCGGAAUUACUGGGCGUAAAGCGUGCGCAGGCGGCGCGUUAAGACAGGUGUGAAAGCCCCGAGCUUAACUUGGGAAUUGCGCUUGUGACUGGCGUGCUGGAGUGUGGCAGAGGGAGGUGGAAUUCCACGUGUAGCAGUGAAAUGCGUAGAGAUGUGGAGGAACACCGGUGGCGAAGGCAGCUCGCUGGGACGUUACUGACACUGAGGCGCGAAAGCGUGGGGAGCGAACAGG
rnacentral:rRNA from 1 species